CCUACGGGAGGCAGCAGUGAGGAAUAUUGGUCAAUGGGCGAGAGCCUGAACCAGCCAAGUCGCGUGAGGGAGUACUGCCCUAUGGGUUGUAAACCUCUUUUGUCGGGGAGAAAAAGCCGGCUACGUGUAGCCGGACUGAGAGUACCUGAAGAAAAAGCAUCGGCUAACUCCGUGCCAGCAGCCGCGGUAAUAGGGAGGAUGCGAGCGUUAUCCGGAUUUAUUGGGGUAAAGGGGUGGGUAGGCGGAAGGCCAAGUCAGCGGUAAAAUCGCGGGGCUCAACCUCGCUCCGCCGUUGAAACUGGCGUUCUUGAGUGGGCGAGAAGUAUGCGGAAUGCGUGGUGUAGCGGUGAAAUGCAUAGAUAUCACGCAGAACUCCGAUUGCGAAGGCAGCAUACCGGCGCCCAACUGACGCUGAAGCACGAAAGCGUGGGUAUCGAACAGGAUUAGAUACCCUAGUAGUC
rnacentral:rRNA from 1 species